CUCUGGACUAGAGGGCGGGCGGGGCUGGAUUGUUCUCCAAGCCCAGCCCCUUCCCUGGGCCCUAGCAGGCUCCGCCCGCCCGCACAACCUUCAGGAUUGGUGGAAGGAGGAAGGCCUCAGACUCCUCCCUUCCUGCCAGGAGGAGGAAACCUGGUUUCCAUAGCAACCCAGAAACACUCCAGGCCUCUUUCAAUUUAAGGCUUCUCUGUGACCCUCUCUGGGGCACCUACUCUUAGAGACUCCUUUCUCUGGCCCCCACUUCCGAUUGGGGCGGAGGGCUCUUAUACAGGUUAGAGGUGGGGACCACAGAGCCUCUCUCAUUAGCCUUACAGUGAUCCGUUCCAAGUGGAAGGGGAAAGGUGACUUUCAGGGCAAAGGGCUUCCAGGCGUCCUCUGACCUCCGCCUCCUGAAGCUGCAGAGCUGGGCCGAAAGAGAGCGUCUGCUGUAAGCAGGGUCCAGGCUCGCUCUCUAAGGGCGAGCAGAGGUCAGGAGGGAGACGGGCUCCUUUGUGGCCCUUGCCCACUCGGGUCCCAGCCUCCUCGACCCCAAGUCCACUGGCACGGAGGCCCGGGAAUGGAGAUACAGAACAUUAACUGAGGAUGGGGAGCUGAUGGCCUGGUUCCUCCUGACUUCUCCAUGAAUGGUUCCAGGGACUUCUAUUUUCCCAGCUCCUCGGAGGACAUGAUGAGGGUGCUUCAGCCCCUUUGGCCUCUGUCCAAGGUACCCAGGCCCCUGGGACUACAGUCAGGGGCAUGAAUGGUUUUCCUGACCCACCUGGUGUGACCUCCAGCGCAGCCUCCUGUCACCCCGAUCCAGAGAGGAUGGAGAAGGCGCAUCUGCCCACCUGGCCUGUGAAUGGGGAGGGCAUUAGUGCUUUCAAACACCUGUGGUUCUGCACCAUUCCCAGCCUGCCCAGGCCUUUCAGCCAGCCCCAGCCCCUUGCUGCUCCUCUCUGGUCCCAGGUACCUGCUCUAGGGUGGACAGCACCGAGAGGGCCAGCCCCCUGCAUCCCUUGGAAUCCACAACAGACACACAGAGAUGAGAGAGCCAGAGUGAGGAGUGUGAGAGAUCCCAGCCUAUGCUGUUCUGGGAGAGGGAGCCGGCUGCCUGCACACAGAACGGGAUUGCCAGCCAGGAGAACUGCCCUGGCCCAGUUCUCCACCAGCAGCCCUCAGUGCUUCAAAGAAGGCAGCGGUCCUUGGAGGGGUCUCUCCAGCUGUGCUCGGGGACACAAGGGCCUUCUCACCCCACGGGCUGUGGAGUGGGCUGAAGAUCGAACAGCAAGCAAGCAGACUCGGGGCGACUCAGGGAAGGGCAGCGUGAGGCUGGGACCGGAGAGGCAGAUCCUGCUCCUCCCCAGGGCCGGGGGUAUGAAGUGGUCCACUAGGACAGAGAAGACAGUUUUUGGGGUGGGAAGAGGGUGUGGUGGCCUGGAGUGGGACAGUUUCCACUGGCUGCCUCCAAGCUCUGUAUCUUUGCUCCUACCCCAACUUUGUGUCACGAAGCUUGGAACAGAGUCUUGAAUAUUUUGAGGAAAGAGGAGGGUGCUAAGAAAGACCACCUUUGGCAACCUGGCAGGAAGCUCCUGUCGCCUCACUCUUCCUUCCUUCCCCCAAGCAGGUAAACAGGAAGGGAAGGAAGGGGUGGGGAAAGUGGUGGCUGAAAGCUGUCUUUCUGUCCAGGUACCAAAGCCACAAGAGCCAGAGUGGCUCUGACUAAGAGAUGCAGGGCCAGGUAUCCUGGGAACUCCACCUUCAGGGCCUUGCAUCUCAAUUCCGUCUGUUCUAGGCUUAGACAUGGAGAAGAGGUAGAAGAUCACUUCUCAUUACACUUUUUGGUGUAACUUUCUCUAAUGGCUUAAUUUACAGCAGACAAACUUGGGCUAAGAGUUCCAAAAGCGUUCACUAUUUAGUCUUGGUUGGGGAUUUAUUUCUGGUGAAGGAGUCAUUUCCUUCCCUGUGAACCUUAGAGGCCAUGACAAAAUCCCACGGAGCAGGGCUGCAGGAAUUCCAUCUACUUGGAAGCCUGGGGACGGAUGAGACAGCCCUGGACUGGUGGUGUGAAGGAAAUGUCCCCCAGUAAUGCUCCACAGGCUGCACCUGCCUGACUCCUCUACCUUGCUUUUUUUUAGUGCUGAGGACCACACUCCGGGCCUUGGCCAUGCCGCUUCUAAGACUCGAGGGUCCGAGAUGUGAGACGUCAGCCGGUGGCCGAUAAGAUCCUGCUUGCCCUCCUCAUCUGACUUUCCUCCCUCCACACCUACAUGCUUCUCCUUUUCCUAUUUCCAGGAACUUUCCAAAUGCAGGAACACAGAGCAACUGCAGGACAGGAUUCCACCAAAUUCCCCUCUCUGGCUCUUGGUUUCCACAUCUGUAAAGUAAAGGGUCGGGCAAGAUGAACGCCACGUUGGCUUCCUUGCAGCAGUGAGGUUCCAUGGUCCAGACCCCAAGGCACCACACUCAUUUGUACAUAACCUCCAGGACACUUUCUUCACGUCAGGACAGAGGAACCACUCUGCUCUCAACUCUGCCCUCCAGUCACCUCACCAGUCUUUGGGUCCAUGGCCCCUCGCGCUUGUCCCUCUUUCUUCAGGAACCUCAGACCUCCGUUCCCAACUUCCUUUCACAAGUUUACCACAUUCCUUGGGCUAAGCCGACUGGACAAAACACCAAGAAACCACCUUACCUACUACCCUGGCUGUGAUUUCGGGCUCCAGGCCCAAGUCAACUGCUUUGGGAGGUCCUGGCCACUGGAGGAAAUGCUGGCACCUCUCCCCAGCACCUCCCCUGCUCCUCCACCUCACUGUUCUCCAUGCCAGCACGAAAAGUGGCCAGUGAUUGAUGGGCCUGGGUUCCCGGUAACCGCACCCAGUGGCCCAAUCCUCCUCCCUUCCUCAAUCCCUCCCCUGCCCCUAUUCAGAGCUCAGAUUGUCUCAUGUUGGUCCCUGAGGUCCCAUUAAUUAAAAAUACAUCCAAUUAAAUGGC
rnacentral:lncRNA from 1 species